ACGCUUCUUCCCCUUCUGGCGCAAAUCGAACUCGAUGCUCGAAAGCAUCGGUUGACAUAGCGAUUAACCGCUUGGUUACCACGCAGCGGGCUGCAGAGAAGAGCACAGUGUACUCGCUGCUUGCUUCUAUAGGAAUUCAUUUCUUUGAGAUCGGUCAUAGCCUCAUCGAAUCGCGCCUCACUAGCCAGACGCCGAAUCGUUCUUCUCACUUUCUCUUUCUCUAUCCUUCUCUCUCUGUAGAACGAUUUAAGAAAAAAAUGUUCAAGAAGUUCUCAUCUGAAGAUGUAUCUGCCCAAAAUCAAGUCAAAGCAUCCGUGCAACGCAAAAUUCGUCAAAGUAUUGCAGAGGAGUACCCAGGGCUUGAACCAGUGCUAGAUGACUUGCUUCCAAAGAAGUCCCCUCUUAUUGUUGCUAAAUGUCAAAACCAUCUGAAUCUGGUACUGGUUAACAAUGUGCCUUUGUUUUUCAAUGUCCGUGAUGGACCUUAUAUGCCUACAUUACGACUUCUUCAUCAAUAUCCCGAUAUAAUGAAAAAACUACAAGUAGACAGGGGCGCAAUCAAAUUUGUCCUCUCCGGAGCCAACAUAAUGUGUCCUGGACUUACUUCUCCUGGGGGUGCCUUGGAUGAUGAUGUGGGUGCAGAAACUCCAGUGGCCAUAAUGGCAGAAGGGAAGCAGCAUGCUCUUGCUAUUGGCUUUACUAAAAUGUCAGCAAAAGAUAUAAUCAGAAAAUAAAUACCACCAGUAAAAAAGGAUAAUUGGAAUCUGAAAAGCUCCUUGGACAGUGGAAGAGCAGGGAUUUCAGUUCUAAGUUGCCCUUAAGCUUGCAAGGGUCUUUCUCUUUGGCCCUUCAUCUCAAUGAUCUCAUGCAUGCUAAAGAAGGUCCAUCAACAAGGGGAUCGGUGUGGAUACCAUGCAUUAUCUGAAUGAUGGUCUUUGGAAGAUGGAACGCCUAGGUUGAGCAUGUCUGAUGAGGAGUGGCUCUGUUCAGUUUGCAGCCGGCUUUGUUCCUCCGAUGCCAAUGAACAUCUAAACUAGAUCUGAUUGCAUAUCUUAAUAUUUCUCAGAUCUCUCUGAAGCUGUUUUUGCACUUGAACUUCUGUAGAGUUUGAAAUCAAGAGUCAACUACAGAACAUAUAUGUAACCAACAACCUAUGUUGCAUGUCAACUUUGUUACUCAUCAAUCACUUGGAUGGAAAAUGAAUUUUGGAAGCAAAAUUGAACUGUAGGAGGCUAUUAUGAAGCUA